GUCCGGCUAGAGUCAGAAAAACCGGAAUGUGUGUGUGAACAACCUCGGUCAGUACAACAGUGGACUGACUGACAGACUGUUCCUGAAAGAGGGAUUGUACCAACUGUCUGUGGAGAGACGGCAGAGGAAGUCACUGUGACCUGAUGAAGCUCAGGUGUUCCUGGACCCAUCAGAGGACAGAGACAGCUGCAGCAUCAGGACAGUCUGGGUAUCCAAAGGAAGACUGAUGAAGAUGAACACUGACUGCAGAGCUCCACUACCAGCUCACACUUCAAUAUACUAGAAACCAUAAACCUUGAUGGAGAACAUGAUCUGCACAGUUUACAUAAAAGUUAUAGCUUUGUUACUUACAACAUGUGUAACUGGAAUAUGAAUGAAAUAUAAAUAAAGUGUUUUACUUUUAAGAA